rnacentral:rRNA from 1 species
CCUACGGGAGGCAGCAGUAGGGAAUAUUGCUCAAUGGGGGAAACCCUGAAGCAGCAACGCCGCGUGGAGGAUGAAGGUUUUAGGAUUGUAAACUUCUGUUGUUAGGGAAGAACGACCUAAGUAGGAAAUGACUUAGGAGUGACGGUACCUCUCAAGAUAGCUCCGGCUAACUACGUGCCAGCAGCCGCGGUAAUACGUAGGGAGCGAGCGUUAUCCGGAUUUAUUGGGUGUAAAGGGUGCGUAGGCGGCUUUUUAGGUCUAAGGUUUAAGCCCGGAGCUUAACUCCGGUUCGCCUUAGAAACCGU